UUUGCCGGGGUGUUUAUUUUUAUGUCUGGACCAUCUUAUCCACUUGAGCGCCUAUCGAUCUCUCCUACCGUCUCGGCGGCGGCGGCUCGCAGCUUGAACCACGAUAGUGGCCGCGAAGAGAAAAGCUCGCUCGACAGCGUCUUCCAUUGGCCGUGGCUCUUCUUCUCGCCGGCCAUGGGCCCACAGCGACAACUACAAUGGCCAGGUGGCCGUAACGCCCGCCGCGUCGCUAGUUGAUGAGCAUCAUGCCCAAGAAUACUGGCGCCCAGUUCAUCCCGAUCGAUGGUGGAGUCUUGUCCGAGCCUUCCAACCGUAAGCAGCUGGUUUUGAAGCCUACCAAGGCACCAAUCAAAUCCACAUUUGCAUACAUAAAUUCCUGAUGGCAGCAACUUAAUCCUGUUGAGCGGCAAUGAUUCUACCGGCUACUCCUUCGUCUAACUCGUUUUUCAUGUAAACAUGGCAGAAACCACCCUAGAUCUGGUACGACAUGUUCGCGCGUGUGCAGUAUUUUCUGCAUUUAUUUCUUCUGAUAAUGGAGUGGUCAUUGUAUUAGGAUA